GCCUCCUUUCAGCUAAGCACGCUCCCCGCUCCUCUCGCUAGGGGGCGGUAUCGCCUAACUGCUGACUCCCGCAGGCCUCGCCGGCUGAGGCCGGACCUAGCGCCUAGCGCGAGCCUUCAACCAAGACCAUCGCAUCUCUGCUGCCGCUACAGCGGUGCCAGCUCUGUCCUUCUUCGCCCUCUCUUGCAACCCCAGUAGUGAGCUCAGAGCAGAGGAGGCUCACGGAACCCAGGGUGGGCUCGCUGACUGGGGCAGAGGGCAGACUGAGUGCUGUGAGUGCCCUGUGACCUUGCCUUGUCCCCGUGACCCUGUCCCUCACCUCCGUCUCGUCUCUGCCUGGCUUCCGGGCCGGCUUCAGACAGGGGAGCGAUGGAUCAGCUACCCCUGGGCACCUGGCGCAGACUCACAGCCUCCCUCUCAGCAUACACCUUGCGUUACCUCCUGCCACAGGACGUGCGGCCAGAGCGGGCCCUCGUGGCCGCGAGGUCACCGUGGUGCGCAUGUCCGUGCACGGAGGAGCUCUCCUCUCCAGCUGUACCAAUCUGCUGGUUCAUUAGGCUCACAGAAGAACAGAACUUCAGAUCAUUUUUUGUGAUGUUGAAGUCGUCUCUGUUAGCAGGUUGUUCUGGGGCUGCACCACCGUGAUGAAGAGCCCUCAGGAGGUGAGAUAUCCCAGCUGCUCCAAACAGGAAGUACCACCACUGGGAAGCUGAAAAAAAAACCCAUGUCUGCCCAGACACUAAGCCCUUAGAGCUUUGACCACAUACAUACUGCGUGGGAAAAAAAGAGUCCAGACUCUACUUUAUCUGUAGCCUCUUGGAACAUUGUCUCUCUUACACCUCCCAGUCAAGGGUUAUACUCCAAGAUCUGCUUUCUAAGCUUUGUGACCUAAUUAGAGGUUUGAAAAACUGGUAUCAGAAAUGCCCAGGAUCAUUUUUAUGGGCCUUUGUGAAUAAGAAAACAACGCCAACAAGUCAAUAUUAUGCGCGAAUGGCAGUAAAAUCCCACUA